rnacentral:rRNA from 1 species
GACGGACGCUGGCGGCGUGCCUAAUACAUGCAAGUAGAACGCACAGUUUAUACCGUAGCUUGCUACACCAUAGACUGUGAGUUGCGAACGGGUGAGUAACGCGUAGGUAACCUGCCUGGUAGCGGGGGAUAACUAUUGGAAACGAUAGCUAAUACCGCAUAAUAUUAAUUAUUGCAUGAUAAUUAAUUGAAAGGUGCAAUUGCACCACUACCAGAUGGACCUGCGUUGUAUUAGCUAGUAGGUGAGGUAACGGCUCACCUAGGCGACGAUACAUAGCCGACCUGAGAGGGUGAUCGGCCACACUGGGACUGAGACACGGCCCAGACUCCCACGGGAGGCAGCAGUAGGGAAUCUUCGGCAAUGGACGAAAGUCUGACCGAGCAACGCCGCGUGAGUGAAGAAGGUUUUCGGAUCGUAAAGCUCUGUUGUAAGAGAAGAACGGGUGUGAGAGUGGAAAGUUCACACUGUGACGGUAUCUUACCAGAAAGGGACGGCUAACUACGUG